ACAUGAAGCUCAUUCUGCUUGCUGCAUCACAAGUAAUAAAGUCUUUUAUCUCUGAUCCUGGAUUCCUGUUUUAACUGUGGCAAGCUAACUUGUCAGCUUGUAGUAGGGCAAAAUCUCAGCCCCUUCACAGUUCUUGACCCUAGAGGACAGAAAAAACCCAUAGUGUGACUGGAGAGAAUGUGAAUUUACCCAAAUGAUGGUGCUAAAACAGGCAGGUCUGUGAAGCCAGAUCUUCAGCUGCCAGUUUAUUUUAACCUCAGUGAGGGAGAGAAAUGAAAACAUAUCUAACAUGCUUCACAACCCAUGCUAGAAAUAAAUUAGAAUGUUUUUAAAUUUUAUGUAUGAUGUUACUCAAAUCAUGAAGACAAAUCCAGAGGCAAGUCAAUUGGUGAUAGCAAUUGAUGCUAAGUUACUUUUCAAGGAUCUGAUCUUUGCCAAUGUGUUCUUACUUGCAAAACCUUGAAAAUUUGGCUAAAUAAUCAGUACUAAAUGAUUCUUAAAUGUGGCAGCAUAGUCUUUAAAUAUGAGGACGCUACGGGGGACUGAAACAACACAACUUCCGUGAAUUGACUAGAUUAACAGAUUUUGGGUUAUAAUAUUGGCAUUUAUAGCUAAGACAAAUUUAUUCUGUCUUUGCUGAAAGGGGAAUAAAAAUAUUUACCUAGCCAUCUUAGCAUUCUUCCUUUUACAAAAAUGUUUAUACAUUUCAUAGCAAAACAAUUUUGAUAAUGUAUUUAUUCACCUCCUGACCUUGUCUUCUAGUUAUUUAAAUAAACUUUUUGAAAAAAAUGAAUGAAUUUUACAUUAUAAACCUGAACGUUCUCUCUCAAAAUAUGGAAUUAUGUAAGCCAGACUGAACAUUCUACUUGUGAAAAUGAUGAAUAGAAAAUGUAUGAUUGUAUGUGGAGAAGCAUGAUAGUAAAUUGAGCCUC
rnacentral:lncRNA from 1 species